CAAAACAGCGAGGGAUGCGGGGGAUGUGGAGCGGCUCCAGAAGAGUCGAUGUACUUCUUUCUGUUGCUUAGCGCUGUGUGGCUGCUCAUAGAAUCCUAGAGUUGGGAGAGACUCCUAGAGGACAUCCAGUCCAGCCCCAUUCAGGAAGGCCAGAAGACACCGUCUCCAAGCUAAACAUCCACUAAAAUGCUCCUCAGAGGGAUUCCAGAUUUCCGGAGCUUCGAUGACUUCUUUGGCCCUCCUUUGGAUGCCUUCCCAUUUGUCCACAUCCUUCUUGAAUUCUGGUUCCCAGAACUGGACACAGGAUUAUCCUUCUGCCGUUGCAUAAAUGGUAGAUCUGUUGGCAAGACCAGU
rnacentral:lncRNA from 11 species